GACGAACGCUGGCGGCGUGCUUAACACAUGCAAGUCGAACGGAAAGGCCCUGCUUUUGUGGGGUGCUCGAGUGGCGAACGGGUGAGUAAUACGUGAGUAACCUGCCCUUGACUUUGGGAUAACUUCAGGAAACUGGGGCUAAUACCGGAUAGGAGCUCCUGCUGCAUGGUGGGGGUUUGAAAGUUUCGGCGGUUGGGGAUGGACUCGCGGCUUAUCAGCUUGUUGGUGGGGUAGUGGCUUACCAAGGCUUUGACGGGUAGCCGGCCUGAGAGGGUGACCGGCCACAUUGGGACUGAGAUACGGCCCAGACUCCUACGGGAGGCAGCAGUGGGGAAUAUUGCACAAUGGGCGGAAGCCUGAUGCAGCAACGCCGCGUGCGGGAUGACGGCCUUCGGGUUGUAAACCGCUUUCGCCUGUGACGAAGCGUGAGUGACGGUAAUGGGUAAAGAAGCACCGGCUAACUACGUG
rnacentral:rRNA from 1 species